rnacentral:rRNA from 1 species
AUCCCCAGCUUGCUGGGGGGAUUAGUGGCGAACGGGUGAGUAACACGUGAGUAACCUGCCCUUGACUCUGGGAUAAGCCUGGGAAACUGGGUCUAAUACUGGAUACGACCUUUCACCGCAUGGUGGGGGGUGGAAAGCUUUUGUGGUUUUGGAUGGACUCGCGGCCUAUCAGCUUGUUGGUGGGGUAAUGGCCUACCAAGGCGACGACGGGUAGCCGGCCUGAGAGGGUGGACGGCCACACUGGGACUGAGACACGGCCCAGACUCCUACGGGAGGCAGCAGUGGGGAAUAUUGCACAAUGGGCGCAAGCCUGAUGCAGCGACGCCGCGUGAGGGAUGAAGGCCUUCGGGUUGUAAACCUCUUUCAGUAGGGAAGAAGCGAAAGUGACGGUACCUGCAGAAGAAGCGCCGGCUAACUACGUGCCAGCAGCCGCGGUAAUACGUAGGGCGCAAGCGUUAUCCGGAAUUAUUGGGCGUAAAGAGCUCGUAGGCGGUUUGUCGCGUCUGCCGUGAAAGUCCGGGGCUUAACUCCGGAUCUGCGGUGGGUACGGGCAGACUUGAGUGAUGUAGGGGAGACUGGAAUUCCUGGUGUAGCGGUGAAAUGCGCAGAUAUCAGGAGGAACACCGAUGGCGAAGGCAGGUCUCUGGGCAUUAACUGACGCUG